CAAUCACUUGUCUUUUAAAUGAAGACCCGUAUGAAUGGCANNACGAGGGCUUAACUGUCUCCUUUCUCCCGUCAAUGGAAUUGAUCUUCCCGUGCAGAAGCGGGAAUACNCCCAUAAGACGAGAAGACCCUAUGGAGCUUCAGGCACCAGAACAGACUAUGUCAAGCACCCUAACACAAAAGACAAAACUAAUUAGACCCUGCUCCACAUGCCUUUGGUUGGGGCGACCGCGGGGAAACGAAAAACCCCCAUGCAGACUGGGAGCACAACCCCUCCUACAACCCAGAGUUACAACUCUAAGAAACAGAACCUCUGACUAAAAAGAUCCGGCUAUUCAAGCCGAUCAACGGACCGAGUUACCCUAGGGAUAACAGCGCAAUCCCCUUCUAGAGCCCA
rnacentral:rRNA from 1 species